rnacentral:rRNA from 1 species
CCUACGGGUGGCUGCAGUAGGGAAUCUUUCUCAAUGGGGGAAACCCUGACGCAGCAACGCCGCGUGGGGGAUGAAGGUUUUCGGAUUGUAAACCCCUUUUGUUAGAGAAGAUCAUGACGGUAACUAACGAAUAAGCACCGGCUAAGUCAGUACCAGCAGCCGCGGUCAUACGGAGGGUGCAAGCGUGACUCGGAAUCACUGGGCGUAAAGUGCGCGUAGGCGGGAUAGCAAGUCAGAUGUGAAAUCCGAGGGCUCAACCAGAGCACUGCAUUUGAAACUGGUAGACUAGAGUUUGGGAGAGGUAAGUGGAAUUCUUGGUGUAGGGGUGAAAUGCGUAGAUAUAAAGAGGAAUACUCAUGGCGAAGGCGGCCUUCUGGAACGUAACUGACGCUGAGGCUCGAAAGCGUGGGGAGCAAACAGGAUUAGAUACCCGAGUAGUC